UUUAGUAGAAGGUAGUAUAAUGAAGUACUAAAGAUUUUGGGUCUUUAUGCGCGGGUUCAAGUCCUGUUCUUCUAA
rnacentral:tRNA from 1 species